AGUCCUGAGGUGUCUUACACGUUAGAUUGCAAAUCUAGAGAAGUAGGCUAACAGCCUGCCGGGGCUU
rnacentral:tRNA from 1 species